UACGUAGGGUCCGAGCGUUGUCCGGAAUUAUUGGGCGGAAAGGGCUCGUAGGCGGUUUGUCGCGUCGGGAGUGAAAACUCAGGGCUCAACCCUGAGCGUGCUUCCGAUACGGGCAGACUAGAGGUAUGCAGGGGAGAACGGAAUUCCUGGUGUAGCGGUGGAAUGCGCAGAUAUCAGGAGGAACACCGGUGGCGAAGGCGGUUCUCUGGGCAACAACUGACGCUGAGGAGCGAAAGCGUGGGGAGCAAACAGG
rnacentral:rRNA from 1 species